rnacentral:rRNA from 1 species
UGGGGAAUAUUGCGCAAUGGGGGCAAGCCCUGACCGCAGCAACGCCGCGUGAAGGAUGAAGGUUUUCGGAUUGUAAACUUCUUUUGUUGAGGACGAAGAAAGUGACGGUACUCAACGAAUAAGCCACGGCUAACUACGUGCCAGCAGCCGCGGUAAUACGUAGGUGGCAAGCGUUGUCCGGAUUUACUGGGUGUAAAGGGCGAGUAGGCGGGUUUGCAAGUCAGAUGUGAAAUACCGGGGCUUAACCCCGGGGCUGCAUUUGAAACUGUAGAUCUUGAGCGUGGAGAGGCAGGCGGAAUUCCCGGUGUAGCGAUGGAAUGCGUAGAUAUCGGGAGGAACACCAGUGGCGAAGGCGGCCUGCUGGACAUUAACUGACGCUGAGGAGCGAAAGCGUGGGGAGCAAACAGGAUUAGAUACCC